rnacentral:lncRNA from 1 species
AGAUGCUCUAGCACUGCUUCCUAAAAGCAGUGUGUCUACCAAUUUCACCAUAGCAGCUUACUCGAAACCAUAAUAACCAAAUUUUAGUCAAUUGUCNAGAUUCAAAGAAUCAAUUAAAACACAAUAUUUNUUUACUAAACAUUCAAUAAAAUAAUUUUAAAUAAUUCUAUUAGAAUCUAUUAAAUAUAUAAUGUAAAAAUCC